AGACCCGAAACCCGGUGAUCUAGCCAUGGGCAGGUUGAAGGUUGGGUAACACUAACUGGAGGACCGAACCGACUAAUGUUGAAAAAUUAGCGGAUGACCUGUGGCUGGGGGUGAAAGGCCAAUCAAACCGGGAGAUAGCUGGUUCUCCCCGAAAGCUAUUUAGGUAGCGCCUCGUGAAUUCAUCUCCGGGGGUAGAGCACUGUUUCGGCUAGGGGGCCAUCCCGGCUUACCAACCCGAUGCAAACUGCGAAUACCGGAGAAUGUUAUCACGGGAGACACACGGCGGGUGCUAACGUCCGUCGUGAAGAGGGAAACAACCCAGACCGCCAGCUAAGGUCCCAAAGUCAUGGUUAAGUGGGAAACGAUGUGGGAAGGCCCAGACAGCCAGGAUGUUGGCUUAGAAGCAGCCAUCAUUUAAAGAAAGCGUAAUAGCUCACUGGUCGAGUCGGCCUGCGCGGAAGAUGUAACGGGGCUAAACCAUGCACCGAAGCUGCGGCAGCGAACGUAUCACCCAAGACAACUUUACGGAGUUGACGAUUGACGGAGCGAAGCGACGUCAAAGCGUUCAUUAAAGUCGAGUUGGCUUAGGGAUACGUUCGUUGGGUAGGGGAGCGUUCUGUAAGCCUGUGAAGGUGUGUCGUGAGGCAUGCUGGAGGUAUCAGAAGUGCGAAUGCUGACAUAAGUAACGAUAAAGCGGGUGA
rnacentral:rRNA from 3 species